UGUUGGUCCUAAUUGCCUACGAUGUCUCUUCAACCGCAAUCUCCGCCGUCGGUGGAAAGUUAUUCUCCGUUGGAAUCUUUUCAUUUGCCCCGGAGGAAGAGUUUCGAGGGAGAGAAUCCUAUUUUGGUCGAUUGGAAGGAAUCGACUAAUGGCGACGCCUUGUCGACUAUGGAUCAUGCCGGAUCUCGGUUUCCGACGUCGUUGUUGGCCUUGCCGUUGUUCGUCGUGCCCGAUUCGUAGACCGAGUUCAAACAACAACUCAAUGACGCCUCAUCAACGGUGGAUCUUGCCGGAUCCAGGUUGCCGACGACCUAUUUGGCGUUCGACCCAUUUGUCGUGGCUGAUUCGGAGCCCGAGUUUGAACCAAAACUCACUGGCGCCGGGGUCAUUCCCUACUGAUCUCUUUUCUAUGGCUUUGUCCCGAUGAGAUUUACUAGAAUUGAGAAGGCUCCUUCGAGCAACUUUUCCACUCGCACGGUGGUAUUGUCUUUCUUAAAAAAUCUACUGCCAUGUUGCCCUAAAGUUACCGGAGUUCCGUGAAGAAGAUGCAGUUUUCACCGAAUGUUCGGUGGAACUGUUUGAAACAGAUAGUUCACCAAGCCUCUCUAUGGAAGCUUCGAUUAAAUCUGUAAAGGACUAUCACAAAUUUUUCUAUUUUCAAAAGAGGUGAUUCUUAAGUCAUCUGCCAUCGUACCCUCUAUUUUUAAUUAAUUUUUAAAACAAAAUAAAAAGUUACCCCUCCUCUCGCACGAGUGGGAUUUUGCCUCGCCCUUUCAUCCGAGAGGAUGACAACCUCAAAAUUGCAAGGUGGAUUGGAGAACCUAUUUUGCAGGGUGAAUUGGAGAUGUCUUAAGAGGUAAAACAACUGAUAAUAUAAUUAGUUAUAUC